rnacentral:tRNA from 1 species
GGGCCCAUAGCUCAGCCUGGCAGAGCGGUCGGCUCUUAACCGACAGGCCACGGGUUCAAAAGGUGGCAAACUCCACCUGGACGUUAGGUCGGCGUGAAGCCGACCAGUGCGCUUCGCGCAUAACGUUAUGAGUUUACACCGUGAAAUUCCCGCUGGGCCCG